AGUCUCUGAUGUAAGCAUAUUGAAUUUCAGUAACUCUGCAUUUAGAAUUUUUUGAUUCUAAAAUUAACGGUUUCAACUUCAAAAUUGUAUUUUUUCAUAUUUUGGAAUAUUAUUCUUUUAAGAUGUUUUGUGCCCUCUCUCCAUAUUUUGAUCUUGAGCCGUCACAAUCUAUGUAUUUCGUUUACCUUUCUGGUGGACGGUGUUUCUCACCAUCACGGAAAAAGACUCACAUCCGUUAUGUUCUUCGUCUCCGCCUUCUUCUCAAGUGAAAUUAUCUAGUAUUUGUUGUAGAUCGGGUUUAUGAGUUCUCAGUUGUGCGAUUGUUUCUCACAGUGUUGUAGGCUGUUCCAGUCAAUAUUGGUGCUCCUCUUCUUCCUUAGAUUUUGGCUUAUGUUAUGAGCUGCAUCUCCUUGGAUUAGGACAUAGUUUAGUCGUCUUUGAUGUAGUCUUCCUUUUCGUUGGUUCGCCGUCGA
rnacentral:lncRNA from 1 species